GACUGGCAAAAAAAAAAAAAAAAAAUCCAAAUCACAUUUGGUGAGUACUUAGUCUAUUCUCUACAUGACUCCACUCUGUGUGGAAAAUAUAAAUAAGCCAGGAUUCUUUAACCUACUAUGGCAUUUUUUUUAAAAAAAAGUGCUAAGGGUCAUAAAAUGAAACGAAAUAUUAGAGAAUUCAGAGGGAAGGUAAAAUAUUUUUCCCCCUUGGAGAGACAAAGGAAGGGCUCAUGAGUGAAGUGGCCUUUGAGCUGAGAGAAGAAACAAAAGCACAGGCCAGGGAGGCAAGGCCAUCUGUAGAAACUGAAGCUACCUAGGACAGGAUCUUUCUGACAGGCUGGUCUAUUCUAGGAACCCUUGCAAAGAAUAAUCUAUCUAAAAUGAAGAUAACAUUACAUGGAAUUUCAAGGAUUAAAUCAGUACUAAAAUACAUAAUUUGCUUUAAAAGUAAAUUUGUGAUUGUAUCCUAUUUGAACUUGGUUCUGAUUUGAACUUGGGCUUGAGCUUGAUGAAUGGGUGGCACAAUCUACUUGAACCAUGCUUUCAGCCCCCCUUUUUGCCUUGCUUAUUGUUUGGAGAGGGUCUCAGUUUUUGUCUAGGUGCUGUCCUCGGAUGGUGAACUUCCUAGCUAGAAUCUCCUAGGCAGCUUAUUGAUUGAGAUGGGGUCUUUCUCAUUCUGGGCUGGCCUCAAAUCACAAUCCUCCCCAAUCUCUGUCUCCCAAAUAGAUGGGAUUAUAGAGUCUAAACUACCAUGUUACACUCAAGAUUCUCUAUUAACCCUAUCUAAUAAUAAAAUCUAGCAGGUCAGAUGAUAUUUUGAAAUCGCUACAACAACUAUAAUACAAAAUGGAAAUGUUUGUUUGUUUGUUUACUGGCAACAAAAACAUAAGAACUAUUAGCACUAUGGCUUGUUAUUGACAUUUAUACUGGAAGGAAAUGCUUUAGAGGCUAAGAAAAGUAAAAAUGUCCUUCUGCCCCAUUGAAGUUCAUAAAUUCUGAUGUUAACUAGCUUCAUGAAACUGAGAUAGGAAACGUAAAGAGAACAGCCUAAGCCAAGGGAGAACAGGAGAAAUGCAACCUGCAAAGAGGAUGACAGUGAAAGGCAGGCAAAACCCUCAAAGUCACCCAUGUAAGAGCCCCAAAUCACCCUAAAUAUGAAUUCAUAUAAUGUGGUCUAGGUUUCAGAAUGGUUCCUGCUUUGGGAAUAAAAUGAAAUGAGUACAAAAGCAGGUAAGAAUUUCAUCAAUCCACAGGUGCAAAGUUAGAGCUCUGUUUUUCAAAUGUAACAAAUGACAGCACAUUGAUCAAUAUAUGAAAAUAGUCCAUCUGCCACAGGACCUGUGUGUGACACAACAGUAUGGGUGUAAGUGUACUGGGUGUAAGCAGGUAUAUAAUCAUAGCAUCCAAAUAUUAAGUGAUUAAAAUAGAGGAGGGAUUUUACUUUUGCCUGGUAUUUUUCAGACACUGCAUAACAGGCUACAAGAAGUCCAACCAGGGUUAGGAGACUUAUUCGGGUUUAUACAUAUACUAGAUAAUACAAAAGAGAUAUAAAAAGCCGAUUUCAGAAAUACCCCCCCACACACACACACACAUAUACUCAUCCUGAACAAAACAGUUCAGAGGACAUUCAGAACUGAAUAGCCUUAAACACAAAAUGUAAGUAUAACUAUUAACACCAAUUUCUAUAUUUUUAUUGAUUAAAACACUGAGGCUAAGUCUUUUAUACUGUUGUUGUUAUUUUUUUUAAUAGUUGUGAGGCUCAGUCUUUCAAGUGGCUUAUCCAAAGCCACACAGCAAGUAACUAGAGAAGUCAAAGCUAGAAUCUAUGUCCCGAUGCUUCUGAGCAAAGAAUAUUGUUCUUGUUGAAAGCAAGGGUUUUUCAUUGGCCCAAUCUUGUUAGAUUUCAGCUAUGAUAUCUCGUUGCUAGUAAACUUGUACAAAUUCUCAGAUGUUUCCAAUCAUACGAUUCCCCACAAUUCUUAACCGCCAAGGGUUAUAAGUAAUGAUUAUAAGAUACAAUGAAG